GAGUGAAGCGGCAACAGCUCAAAUUUGAAAUCUGGCCCCCUCGGGGCCCGAGUUGUAAUUUGUAGAGGAUGUUUCGGGUGUGGCUCCGGUCUAAGUUCCUUGGAACAGGACGUCAUAGAGGGUGAGAAUCCCGUAUGUGACUGGCAGCCUACGCCCAUGUGAAACUCCUUCGACGAGUCGAGUUGUUUGGGAAUGCAGCUCAAAAUGGGUGGUAAAUUUCAUCUAAAGCUAAAUAUUGGCCAGAGACCGAUAGCGCACAAGUAGAGUGAUCGAAAGAUGAAAAGCACUUUGGAAAGAGAGUUAAACAGUACGUGAAAUUGUUGAAAGGGAAGCGCUUGCAACCAGACUUGCGUGCGGCCGAUCAUCCGGUGUUCUCACCGGUGCACUCGGUCGUGCUCAGGCCAGCAUCGGUUUCGGCGGCUGGAUAAAGGCCAUGGGAAUGUAGCUCCUCUCGGGGAGUGUUAUAGCCCGUGGUGCAAUGCAGCCCGCUGGGACCGAGGACCGCGCUUCGGCUAGGAUGCUGGCGUAAUGGUUGUAAGCGACCCGUCUUGAAACACGGACCAAGGAGUCUAACAUCUAUGCGAGUGUUUGGGUGUCAAACCCAUACGCGGAAUGAAAGUGAACGGAGGUGAGAACCCUUAAGGGUGCAUCAUCGACCGAUCCUGAUGUCUUCGGAUGGAUUUGAGUAAGAGCAUAGCUGUUGGGACCCGAAAGAUGGUGAACUAUGCCUGAAUAGGGUGAAGCCAGAGGAAACUCUGGUGGAGGCUCGCAGCGGUUCUGACGUGCAAAUCGAUCGUC
rnacentral:rRNA from 1 species